AUGCAUGCAUGCGCUGGAGUUAAUGCCAGAUUAAAGCACCUUUUUUGCGGGGAGAAAGUGCUAAUUGGACAGUUUUGCAACCUAUGUAAUUUGUUCCACCACUCGCUAUCUACUUUGGUUGAGGAGUUUUUUGAGUUAAGGCCUUUAAACCAGAAGGGAGGGAGUAUAUGCCUCUAUCUUCAUCCUCCUCCCCAGGGAAAACUGCUCAGAAGCAGCCCAAUCUCCUCUGCUCGUCAGCUGCUAGGAGAUAGCACUGGAGCUUCCCGCCUCCCCCAUCUCACUUCCGAGCUCCCAUGGCGCUGCAGCCCCGUCCUCUCCUCUGACCUAGGCAGUACAGUUGCCAGGUAG
rnacentral:rRNA from 1 species